rnacentral:tRNA from 1 species
ACUUACAUAAUAUAUAAAUAUUAGUAUAUUUGAUUUCCAAUCAAAAAGAUUAUAUCAAUAAUAUAAGUA